AUUGAACGCUGGCGGCAGGCCUAACACAUGCAAGUCGAGCGCGCGGCGGACGGGUGAGUAAUGUCUGGGAAACUGCCUGAUGGAGGGGGAUAACUACUGGAAACGGUAGCUAAUACCGCAUACCAUCAGAUGUGCCCAGAUGGGAUUAGCUCGUAGGUGGGGUAACGGCUCACCUAGGCGACGAUCCCUAGCUGGUCUGAGAGGAUGACCAGGCACACUGGAACUGAGACACGGUCCAGACUCCUACGCGAGGCAGCAGUGGGUAAUAUGGCACAAUGGGCGCAAGCCUGAUGCAGCCAUGCCGCGGGUGUGAAGAAGGCCGUCGGGUUGUAAAGCACUUUCAGCGGGGAGGCGUUACGCGCAGAAGAAGCACCGGCUAACUCCGUGCCAGCAGCCGCGGUAAUAC
rnacentral:rRNA from 1 species